CCUACGGGUGGCAGCAGUGAGGAAUAUUGGUCAAUGGGCGCGCGCCUGAACCAGCCAAGUCGCGUGAAGGAUGACUGCCCUACGGGUUGUAAACUUCUUUUAUCAAGGAAUAAAGUGAGGCACGUGUCCCUUUUUGUAUGUACUUUAUGAAUAAGGAUCGGCUACCUCCGUGCCAGCAGCCGCGGUAAUACGGAGGAUCCGAUCGUUAUCCGGAUUUAUUGGGUUUAAAGGGAGCGUAGGUGGGUUGUUAAGUCAGUUGUGAAAGUUUGCGGCUCAACCGUAAAAUUGCAAUGGAUACUGGCAGGCUUGAGUACAGUAGAGGUAGGCGGAAUGCGUGGUGUAGCGGUGAAAUGCUUAGAUAUCACGAAGAACUCCGAUUGCGAAGGCAGCUUACUAAACUGCGACUGACAUUGAUGCUCGAAAGUGUGGGGAUCAAACAGGAUUAGAUACCCGAGUAGUC
rnacentral:rRNA from 1 species